rnacentral:rRNA from 1 species
UACGUAGGGUGCGAGCGUUGUCCGGAUUUAUUGGGCGUAAAGAGCUCGUAGGCGGUUUGUCGCGUCGGCCGUGAAAUCUCCACGCUUAACGUGGAGCGUGCGGUCGAUACGGGCAGACUUGAGUUCGGUAGGGGGGACUGGAAUUCCUGGUGUAGCGGUGAAAUGCGCAGAUAUCAGGAGGAACACCGGUGGCGAAGGCGGGUCUCUGGGCCGAUACUGACGCUGAGGAGCGAAAGCGUGGGGAGCGAACAGG